GGUUAAGUUAGAAAGGGCGCACGGUGGAUGCCUUGACACUAGGAGUCGAUGAAGGACGGGACUAACGCCGAUAUGCUUCGGGGAGCUGUAAGUAAGCUUUGAUCCGAAGAUUUCCGAAUGGGGAAACCCACUAUACGUAAUGGUAUGGUAUCCUUAUCUGAAUACAUAGGGUAAGGAAGACAGACCCAGGGAACUGAAACAUCUAAGUACCUGGAGGAAGAGAAAGCAAAUGCGAUUUCCUGAGUAGCGGCGAGCGAAACGGAACAUAGCCCAAACCAAGAGGCUUGCCUCUUGGGGUUGUAGGACAUUCUAUACGGAGUUACAAAGGAACGAGGUAGACGAAGCGACCUGGAAAGGUCCGUCGUAGAGGGUAACAACCCCGUAGUCGAAACUUCGUUCUCUCUUGAAUGUAUCCUGAGUACGGCGGAACACGUGAAAUUCCGUCGGAAUCUGGGAGGACCAUCUCCCAAGGCUAAAUACUCCCUAGUGAUCGAUAGUGAACCAGUACCGUGAGGGAAAGGUGAAAAGCACCCCGGAAGGGGAGUGAAAGAGAUCCUGAAACCGUGUGCCUACAAAUAGUCAGAGCCCGUUAACGGGUGAUGGCGUGCCUUUUGUAGAAUGAACCGGCGAGUUACGAUCCCGUGCGAGGUUAAGCUGAAGAGGCGGAGCCGCAGCGAAAGCGAGUCUGAAUAGGGCGUUUAGUACGUGGUCGUAGACCCGAAACCAGGUGAUCUACCCAUGUCCAGGGUGAAGUUCAGGUAACACUGAAUGGAGGCCCGAACCCACGCACGUUGAAAAGUGCGGGGAUGAGGUGUGGGUAGCGGAGAAAUUCCAAUCGAACCUGGAGAUAGCUGGUUCUCCCCGAAAUAGCUUUAGGGCUAGCCUUAAGUGUAAGAGUCUUGGAGGUAGAGCACUGAUUGGACUAGGGGUCCUCAUCGGAUUACCGAAUUCAGUCAAACUCCGAAUGCCAAUGACUUAUCCUUAGGAGUCAGACUGCGAGUGAUAAGAUCCGUAGUCAAAAGGGAAACAGCCCAGACCGCCAGCUAAGGUCCCAAAGUGUGUAUUAAGUGGAAAAGGAUGUGGAGUUGCUUAGACAACUAGGAUGUUGGCUUAGAAGCAGCCACCAUUUAAAGAGUGCGUAAUAGCUCACUAGUCGAGUGACUCUGCGCCGAAAAUGUACCGGGGCUAAAUACACCACCGAAGCUGCGGAUUGAUACCGAAUGGUAUCAGUGGUAGGGGAGCGUUCUAAGGACAGUGAAGUCAGACCGGAAGGACUGGUGGAGUGCUUAGAAGUGAGAAUGCCGGUAUGAGUAGCGAAAGACGGGUGAGAAUCCCGUCCACCGAAUGCCUAAGGUUUCCUGAGGAAGGCUCGUCCGUUCAGGGUUAGUCAGGACCUAAGCCGAGGCCGACAGGCGUAGGCGAUGGACAACAGGUUGAUAUUCCUGUACCACCUCUUUAUCGUUUGAGCAAUGGAGGGACGCAGAAGGAUAGAAGAAGCGUGCGAUUGGUUGUGCACGUCCAAGCAGUUAGGCUGAUAAGUAGGCAAAUCCGCUUAUCGUAAAGGCUGAGCUGUGAUGGGGAAGCUCCUUAUGGAGCGAAGUCUUUGAUUCCCCGCUGCCAAGAAAAGCUUCUAGCGAGAUAAAAGGUGCCUGUACCGCAAACCGACACAGGUAGGCGAGGAGAGAAUCCUAAGGUGUGCGAGAGAACUCUGGUUAAGGAACUCGGCAAAAUGACCCCGUAACUUCGGGAGAAGGGGUGCUUUCUUAACGGAAAGCCGCAGUGAAUAGGCCCAAGCGACUGUUUAGCAAAAACACAGCUCUCUGCGAAGCCGUAAGGCGAAGUAUAGGGGGUGACACCUGCCCGGUGCUGGAAGGUUAAGGAGAGGGGUUAGCGUAAGCGAAGCUCUGAACUGAAGCCCCAGUAAACGGCGGCCGUAACUAUAACGGUCCUAAGGUAGCGAAAUUCCUUGUCGGGUAAGUUCCGACCCGCACGAAAGGUGUAACGAUUUGGGCACUGUCUCAACCAGAGACUCGGUGAAAUUAUAGUACCUGUGAAGAUGCAGGUUACCCGCGACAGGACGGAAAGACCCCGUGGAGCUUUACUGUAGCCUGAUAUUGAAUUUUGGUACAGUUUGUACAGGAUAGGCGGGAGCCUUUGAAACCGGAGCGCUAGCUUCGGUGGAGGCGCUGGUGGGAUACCGCCCUGACUGUAUUGAAAUUCUAACCUACGGGUCUUAUCGACCCGGGAGACAGUGUCAGGUGGGCAGUUUGACUGGGGCGGUCGCCUCCUAAAGUGUAACGGAGGCGCCCAAAGGUUCCCUCAGAAUGGUUGGAAAUCAUUCGUAGAGUGCAAAGGCAUAAGGGAGCUUGACUGCGAGACCUACAAGUCGAGCAGGGACGAAAGUCGGGCUUAGUGAUCCGGUGGUUCCGCAUGGAAGGGCCAUCGCUCAACGGAUAAAAGCUACCCCGGGGAUAACAGGCUUAUCUCCCCCAAGAGUCCACAUCGACGGGGAGGUUUGGCACCUCGAUGUCGGCUCAUCGCAUCCUGGGGCUGUAGUCGGUCCCAAGGGUUGGGCUGUUCGCCCAUUAAAGCGGUACGCGAGCUGGGUUCAGAACGUCGUGAGACAGUUCGGUCCCUAUCCGUCGUGGGCGUAGGAAAUUUGAGAGGAGCUGUCCUUAGUACGAGAGGACCGGGAUGGACGCACCGCUGGUGUACCAGUUGUUCUGCCAAGGGCAUAGCUGGGUAGCUAUGUGCGGAAGGGAUAAGUGCUGAAAGCAUCUAAGCAUGAAGCCCCCCUCAAGAUGAGAUUUCCCAUAGCGUAAGCUAGUAAGAUCCCUGAAAGAUGAUCAGGUUGAUAGGUUCGAGGUGGAAGCAUGGUGACAUGUGGAGCUGACGAAUACUAAUAGAUCGAGGACUUAACCAU
rnacentral:rRNA from 1 species